UACGUAGGUGGCAAGCGUUGUCCGGAUUUACUGGGCGUACAGAGCGCGCAGGCGGUCGAAUAAGUCGAAUGUGAAAGCCCCCGGCUUAACUGGGGAGGGUCAUUCGAUACUGCUCGACUUGAAGGCAGGAGAGGGUAGUGGAAUUCCCGGUGUAGUGGUGAAAUGCGUAGAUAUCGGGAGGAACACCAGUGGCGAAGGCGACUACCUGGCCUGUUCUUGACGCUGAGGCGCGAAAGCUGGGGGAGCAAACGGG
rnacentral:rRNA from 1 species